CGGGCUGCCUCCGCAUGGACCUACACGGCAGCGACGGCGACGCGCCCGUGGCUGAUGCCUUACCCGGUCUGUCUGGACGAAAGCGCAUCCGCAGUUUUGAAGAUAUAAGCAAACAGUUUGUGUACUGAAACCAAGAGUCUUUGCGGGAUACUCAUGACCACAUUAUUAACUACAAUAAUUUCAUGUAGGCUAUUAAUUAGCUACAAAGUACAAUACUAGUAUGCAG
rnacentral:lncRNA from 1 species